GCACAGAGAGCUUGCUCUCGGGUGACGAGCGGCGGACGGGUGAGUAAUGUCUGGGAAACUGCCUGAUGGAGGGGGAUAACUACUGGAAACGGUAGCUAAUACCGCAUAAUGUCGCAAGACCAAAGUGGGGGACCUUCGGGCCUCAUGCCAUCAGAUGUGCCCAGAUGGGAUUAGCUAGUAGGUGGGGUAACGGCUCACCUAGGCGACGAUCCCUAGCUGGUCUGAGAGGAUGACCAGCCACACUGGAACUGAGACACGGUCCAGACUCCUACGGGAGGCAGCAGUGGGGAAUAUUGCACAAUGGGCGCAAGCCUGAUGCAGCCAUGCCGCGUGUAUGAAGAAGGCCUUCGGGUUGUAAAGUACUUUCAGCGGGGAGGAAGGCGAUAAGGUUAAUAACCUUGUCGAUUGACGUUACCCGCAGAAGAAGCACCGGCUAACUCCGUGCCAGCAGCCGCGGUAAUACGGAGGGUGCAAGCGUUAAUCGGAAUUACUGGGCGUAAAGCGCACGCAGGCGGUCUGUCAAGUCGGAUGUGAAAUCCCCGGGCUCAACCUGGGAACUGCAUUCGAAACUGGCAGGCUAGAGUCUUGUAGAGGGGGGUAGAAUUCCAGGUGUAGCGGUGAAAUGCGUAGAGAUCUGGAGGAAUACCG
rnacentral:rRNA from 1 species